rnacentral:siRNA from 1 species
CACAUAGUGUGAACGCAUAGUGU